rnacentral:rRNA from 1 species
CCCCAGACUCCUACGGGAGGCAGCAGUGAGGAAUAUUGGUCAAUGGGCUUACGCCUGAACCAGCCAAGUCGCGUGAGGGAAGACUGCCCUAUGGGUUGUAAACCUCUUUUGUCAGGGAGCAACGCCGGCUACGUGUAGCCGGACUGAGAGUACCUGAAGAAAAAGCAUCGGCUAACUCCGUGCCAGCAGCCGCGGUAAUACGGAGGAUGCGAGCGUUAUCCGGAUUUAUUGGGUUUAAAGGGUGCGUAGGGGGAGUGCAAGGUGGGGGGGAAAGUCGGGGGGCCAAACCGCGGGCCGCCGUUGAAACUGGCGUUCUUGAGUGGGCGAGAAGUAUGCGGAAUGCGUGGUGUAGCGGUGAAAUGCAUAGAUAUCACGCAGAACUCCGAUUGCGAAGGCAGCAUACCGGCGCCCAACUGACGCUGAAGCACGAAAGCGUGGGUAGCGAACAGGAUUAGAUACCCCAGUAU